UGUUGUUGUUGUUGUGUUGUUGUUGUUGUUAUGUUGUUGUUGUUGUUGUGUUGCAGCUGUACAGAGUAGACCCGCUGUCUGUAAGACGAAGCAUCGACGCCGCCUGAAGAGUUUUACACUUGGAAAUGUCUGAAUGUUAUCUUUUAUAUAUUUAUAUAAAUUAUCUGCUAAUGAGUUAAAAUAUCUGAUUAUUGAUCCUAACCCUCCUUCCUCUCCUUAGAUAUCCCUCCUCCUCCUCCUCGUAUAUUUCCUUCUAUCUCGGAGAGCAUUUUAGUUCGCCUCGCUAUGAGCCCUGUAAACCGCCCUUCGUCUCGUUGGGAUGUUCUUCGUCUCGUUGGGAUGUUCUUCGGCUCGUUGGGAUGUUCUUCGUCUCGUUGGGAUGUUCUUCGUCUCGUUGGGAUGUUCUUCUCCUCGUUGGGAUGUUCUUCUCCUCGUUGGGAUGUUCUUCGGCGAGCAGCAGAUAAACAGGUUGCUUUAGGUUGCUCCGUCAGAGGUCACGUGACGGAGAUACGUUGGCUUUACAAUGUCGUGGACAGGAAGUAGACUACGACAGUCAUUCAUUUCAUUGGUCGCCUCCUCUACUAACUAACUACCACAUUUAUUUUCUGUUGUGUAUUAAAGGUUUAACCCUGAGGAGGAGGAGCAGCAGGAGGAGCAGCAGGAGGAGCAGCAGGAGGAGGAGGAGGAGGAGGAGAAGAAGAAGGGGAGCUGUGGGAUGAGGUAGUAGUUUGUAUAGUUUUAGGAUCACACCAGAUCUGGGAGAUAACUAUACAGCCUACUGUCUUUCUCACGGCAACCAAACCAUCACCCCCCCCGGCCUGUCAAACGGCUUACGAUCAGUUGCCACGGCGACUGAAGCUGCUCUGUUGCCGUUGGCGACCGACGGUGCUCCAUUAUUGCAUCCUCAGCAUUGGUUGCGUUCUGCUGAACUUCCUAACCGCCUCCUGAAGCAUCAGUUGGUCGCCUGAGCUGACCUUGAUGAGCUGCUCUGAUUGGACAACGCCCCUCGGGCUGCAGCCAAUCAGUGGACGCCGGGAGGGGGCGUUCCCUGAAACGCCCAUCGAUUGGUCUAAUCGUGCGGGAGUGGGCGGGGCUGGGUCCACGCUGUGAUCAAAGAGUAGUUGCAGUGAGAGAGGUCUCACUCUGUCCGAGUUUCAGUCCACCGAGGAGCAGAUUAAUAUUAAACAUCAGCCUUAAAGUUCAGGUACAGUAAGGUUGUUUCUCCACAGAUGGAGCAGAGUUAUUUAUAUAUUGUUAUAUAUUGUAAUUAUUAUUAUUAUUUAUUAUAAAGUCUUUGUUUAGCAACUGUAAUGCAACUAAUUUCCCCCCAGGGAUCAAUAAAGUAUGUCUGAUCAUCUCA